rnacentral:rRNA from 1 species
CUUUAUUGGAGAGUUUGAUCCUGGCUCAGGAUGAACGCUGGCGGCGUGCCUAAUACAUGCAAGUCGAGCGAAUGGAUUAAGAGCUUGCUCUUAUGAAGUUAGCGGCGGACGGGUGAGUAACACGUGGGUAACCUGCCCAUAAGACUGGGAUAACUCCGGGAAACCGGGGCUAAUACCGGAUAACAUUUUG